AUUGAACGCUGGCGGCAGGCCUAACACAUGCAAGUCGAGCGGAGCGGCGGACGGGUGAGUAAUGCCUAGGAAUCUGCCUGUUAGUGGGGGAUAACGUCCGGAAACGGGCGCUAAUACCGCAUACUAUCAGAUGAGCCUAGGUCGGAUUAGCUAGUUGGGGUGGUAAAGGCCUACCAAGUCGACGAUCCGUAACUGGUCUGAGAGGAGGAUCAGUCACACUGGAACUGAGACACGGUCCAGACUCCUACGGGAGGCAGCAGUGGGGAAUAUUGGACAAUGGGCGAAAGUCUGAUCCAGCCAUGCCGCGUGAGUGAAGAAGGUCUUCGGAUUGUAAAGCACUGUAGGUUGGGAGGCGGUACCAACAGAAUAAGCAACGGCUAACUUCGUGCCAGCCGCCGCGGUAAUUC
rnacentral:rRNA from 1 species